CUUCCACAGGCAAAGCUUCCGAUGUGAAUUUCCUCUUCUCCUUUGCUUUAAGUAAAGACAACUAUCUUGCAGCAACCAGGACCGGUUCUUGAAUAGAUCACCCCAAGUGGUGAACCUACUCCGUCCAGUAACAGGGCCAUCUCUGCUCCUGCCUCGGUUUCCCUGCCUCUACCAUUUAGAACACCUGAACAUCCAGGCUGUGUGUCUUCUGUUUGCCCUCUUGGGAAGUUUCCACUGCCAGAGGACAAAGCCUGGCUAACCUGCUGGAGGAUGAGAGACUGCACCAACUACUCCUACCGCUCCCGGCUGAGAGCGGGUCAACUCCCAGAAGGAGCCCACCCACCACCCAGCUGACUGCAGAUGCUUGGGUGAGCUCAUCCAAGGCCGAGAACCAUCCAGCUGACCUGUAGACUUAAAAAGAAAGAAAAAAAGAGAGAUACUGCUGCUGCAGAUACUGUGUGACAGCCCCACAGCGUUGGUGCCAAGGCCAUGCCUCCCUUGGACUGCUCCAAAUGACAAAACACG